AACAUCCUGCGAUGAGCGUGACUUAAGAUGUCUCAAACCGAUGCAUUGUUAAAGGGAAUUCACAUAGUUAUUCGGACAACAAGCCAAGUAAGCUAAUUGGAAGUUGGAACAAUAACCGAGGAUACCCACCUGCUUGAGAGCGGGUAUUGAGACACUAGGAGUUACGUCAGAGCGGGACACCA
rnacentral:other from 1 species